rnacentral:lncRNA from 1 species
GAUCGAGGAAAGCGCAAUCGAUCAAAGUCGAGAGGUGAAGGUUUUAGGGCUGCGAAAGCUUAGUGAUGUGAUCGACAUCAUCGUGAGGCAAUCGGCUUCGGAUUGGCUCCGCCACCUGCGUGAACAUCACGGCAGCUUUGAAUAUCUGUAAGUGUAUGUUUUGGCUAUGAAUUAUGUUGGAUAUGAGCAUAGCAAUUUGCACUCGAAGUCUUGAACACUAUCAAAUUUUCCCCUUUCUUCCUGUUCGUAUCAAAUUGAGAACUGUAAGGUUGAAUUUAUUAUAGUACUUUUAGAUUACGAUUAAUCACCUCUUCAUUCUCUUUCACUCGGUUCUUUUUUGAUUCAUUCAUAUAAAUUCUCAGUUUGUUAUUUAGGCACACCAAUCCUCAUGAGAGCCAAAUACGCAACAACCCGAUAUAACACCAGCAUCAGUGCCAAAGCCACAACCGAUAGCACUUGCCCAUCAAGCCCAACGCUCUUAAUAGCCGGAAAAUCCUCAACCAAACACGUCAAGUUACCACAUUUGUAAGUCUGCCCAUGCUCAUAUUGUGAAGCUAUCAACAACUUGUAAGUAUGUUGACUGAUGGAUAUGUAUUUGAUCCAAGAUAUGAAAUCAGGCACAUGUUGAACAUAGUAUCCACCUGCUAGUGUGAAUGAUAACAUGAUCACAGAUCCCAUAAUGGUGGCUGAUUUUUGGUUCAUAACUAGUGCUCCUACGGCUAACCCUAGCCCUUGUGAUGCCAACACGCUAA